GACGAACGCUGGCGGCGUGCUUAACACAUGCAAGUCGAACGGAAAGGCCCUGCUUUUGUGGGGUGCUCGAGUGGCGAACGGGUGAGUAACACGUGAGUAACCUGCCCUUGACUUUGGGAUAACUUCAGGAAACUGGGGCUAAUACCGGAUAGGAGCUCCUGCUGCAUGGUGGGGGUUGGAAAGUUUCGGCGGUUGGGGAUGGACUCGCGGCUUAUCAGCUUGUUGGUGGGGUAGUGGCUUACCAAGGCUUUGACGGGUAGCCGGCCUGAGAGGGUGACCGGCCACAUUGGGACUGAGAUACGGCCCAGACCCCUACGGGAGGCAGCAGUGGAGAAUAUUGCACAAUGGGAGGAAGCCUGAUGCAGCAACGCCGCGUGCGGGAUGACGGCCUUCGGGUUGUAAACCGCUUUCGCCUGUGACGAAGCGUGAGUGACGGUAAUGGGUAAAGAAGCACCGGCUAACUACGUG
rnacentral:rRNA from 1 species